rnacentral:tRNA from 1 species
GAGGGUAUAGCUCAGAGGUAGAGCGCAUGCUUAGCAAGCAAGGGGUCCUCAGUUCAAUCCCCAGUACCUCCA